rnacentral:rRNA from 1 species
GACGAACCGUGCGAACGUUGUUCGGAAUCACUGGGCUUAAAGGGCGCGUAGGCGGGCUGUCAAGUCCGGGGUGAAAUCCUCCAGCUUAACUGGAGAACUGCCUCGGAUACUGAUGGUCUCGAGGAGGAUAGGGGCACACGGAACUGUGGGUGGAGCGGUGAAAUGCGUUGAUAUCCAUAGGAACUCCGGUGGCGAAAGCGGUGUGCUGGAUCCUUUCUGACGCUGAGGCGCGAAAGCCAGGGGAGCAAACGGG